AACACUGGCACAGGUGCAAGGGAGCAUGCAGAUGAGUUGCUUUUUGUGUGCAGCUUUUUUUCUCUGUAGCCUGCUGUGGCUUGCGCAAGCAUGCUGAGUCAUGCUGAGGGUGAGGGUGGAGUUUGGUGCACAAUGCCUUCUGUCAUAGCCAACUUGCUGUGCGCUUUUGUUAUACAUGGGUGAUAAAGGGGACAGGAGGGGUAGGAGAGAUGGCUGUGCUAGAGGCAGCGACACAGGUUGUGGUGAGGAGCAUGACUUGCUGCUUGUGUGCAGCUUUUUCAAUUGAAAUUUUCGCGUCUGCUCUGUUCUGCUCUGCUGCAUUUGUUGGGAACAUGGACAGGAUGCUCUCCCCUUGUGUUGGCCCUGCUGAAAAUGGUCUUCCUAUUCCACACAGGUGAUGGGAGGAAGAAGACUGGGAACAUAAUUCCAAAGAGGCCAUCUGCGCCAAAAGUGGGCAACCACGCCUGGCUGGCGAAGCCCUGAGGCAAGUAUUCCUCUACCACUUACAACUAAUUAGAAGUUGCGAUGUGCAURUGAAAAGCUUCUGCCAUAAGAAAAUAAGAGAGAUUGCAUGCUUGCCACUUGACUGUGUCAUGUAAAGCCUAAAUAACAGUUUACGUUCCCCACUUUCUUGACCUUCAUAGGAAUGGGAGAGAGGCAGGCGCUCGCGCAGCAGCUGGAGCACAAGCACAGGGGUGUGAGGUCUGCGUUUUUGUGGCAAUUGAUGAUGGGCUGUAUGACAUUGGAAUGAAUCAAAGCGGCAAGUUGGUUUCUCAUUGACUUCUUUCCUCAGGAGUUUUCAACUGGCUCCACUUUURGAUGCCGAAUUGCUCGCGCCGCAUCUGUGAGGAACAAWGAUGUUGAAUAUUUGCAGCAACAGCAG
rnacentral:lncRNA from 1 species